GACGAACGCUGGCGGCGUGCCUAAUACAUGCAAGUCGAACGCUGAAGAGAGGAGCUUCCUCUUCUUGGAUGAGUUGCGAACGGGUGAGUAACGCGUAGGUAACCUGCCUUGUAGCGGGGGAUAACUAUUGGAAACGAUAGCUAAUACCGCAUAACAAUGGAUGACACAUGUCUUUUAUUUGAAAGGGGCAAUUGCUCCACUACAAGAUGGACCUGCGUUGUAUUAGCUAGUAGGUGAGGUAAUGGCUCACCUAGGCGGCGAUACAUAGCCGACCUGAGAGGGUGAUCGGCCACACUGGGACUGAGACACGGCCCAGACUCCUACGGGAGGCAGCAGUAGGGAAUCUUCGGCAAUGGGGGCAACCCUGAACGAGCAACGCCGCGUGAGUGAAGAAGGGUUUCGGAUCGUAAAGCUCUGUUGUAAGUCAAGAACGGGUGUGAGAGUGGAAAGUUCACACUGUGACGGUAGCUUACCAGAAAGGGACGGCUAACUACGUG
rnacentral:rRNA from 1 species